AAAAAACACACUUUGAGAAACACUGGAUUAAAUUGUGAAACAAAUUGUAUCUAGGCAAUGGUAUAUAUCUCAAUUUAGCACUAAAAUGUGAUUGAGCUUUUAAAUAAAAUAAUUACUGAUUAGCGGAUGUUUGCACUUAGCUAUUUGGAUAAAGUUUCUUUCACGGAAACUAACAAAAAACUAGAACGGAAAACUAUGCUAACCAGGAGUCUCAGUUGCCCACACCUGUGAGAAUGGCAUCCUAUGAAGCAGCUCCUCCAGUUUAGAUGCUUUCACACAGUGCUUCUCAACCCUAACUCCAAAUUAGCCUCAUCUGGGGCUCUUAAACAUCCCAGUGCCCGGGAUCCACCUCAAACAAAUUAAAUCUGAACAUUUCGGGGUGGAGCCCGAGUAACAGCAAUUUUAAAAAGCUCACCAACCAAUGCUAAUGUGCAGCCAAGGUCAAGAACCACCAGCUCUAAUGAGAACUGAGGGGCUAGUCUUGCAAAACCAGCUCUGGAAAGCAAAGUUCUCUUCACUUGCUCAUUCUCCACAGACCUGGACUGGAGGCAUCACAUCCGAUGGUCGCAUAUGCUCAUAACAGUAAUGGAGAAGAAUAGACCGUCUUCAGAACCCUGACCUCCUUCAAGGAAAAACUCCGCCUCCAUGCAGGCCAUAUGAGAAGUCUGACUUCAUGCCCAGCUCCAGAAUGUUCCAAAGACAUGGCCACAUGCUACAAGCCCAGGAAGAAGGCCACCACAGAGGCCAGCAAAGCCAAGAGCAUCUCAGGAAAAUGGGGCAAGAGCUCCUGGAUUAAGCCAGCACUGAAGCCCGCCCUAUCUCUGGACUUCCAAUCACAUAGCUCAAUAAACGUCUUUCUUCUUUAAG
rnacentral:lncRNA from 1 species